AACGCGAAGAACCUUACCAAGGCUUGACAUACACCGGAAAGCAUUAGAGAUAGUGCCCCCCUUGUGGUCGGUGUACAGGUGGUGCAUGGCUGUCGUCAGCUCGUGUCGUGAGAUGUUGGGUUAAGUCCCGCAACGAGCGCAACCCUUGUUCUGUGUUGCCAGCAUGCCCUUCGGGGUGAUGGGGACUCACAGGAGACUGCCGGGGCUCAACUCGGAGGAAGGUGGGGACAACGUCAAGUCAUCAUGCCCCUUAUGUCUUGGGCUGCACACGUGCUACAAUGGCAGGUACAAAGAGCUGCGAUACCGUGAGGUUGAGCGAAUCUCAAAAAGCCUGUCUCAGUUCGGAUUGGGGUCUGCAACUCGACCCCAUGAAGUCGGAGUUGCUAGUAAUCGCAGAUCAGCAUUGCUGCGGUGAAUACGUUCCCGGGCCUUGUACACACGG
rnacentral:rRNA from 1 species